CCUACGGGUGGCAGCAGUGAGGAAUAUUGGUCAAUGGACGAGAGUCUGAACCAGCCAAGUAGCGUGAAGGAUGACUGCCCUAUGGGUUGUAAACUUCUUUUAUAUGGGAAUAAAACGUUCCACGUGUGGGAUUUUGUAUGUACUAUAUGAAUAAGGAUCGGCUCACUCCGUGCCAGCAGCCGCGGUAAUACGGAGGAUCCGAGCGUUAUCCGGAUUUAUUGGGUUGAAAGGGAGCGUAGGUGGAUUGUUAAGUCAGUUGUGAAAGUUUGCGGCGCAACCGUAAAAUUGCAGUUGAAACUGGCAGUCUUGAGUACAGUAGAGGUGGGCGGAAUUCGUGGUGUAGCGGUGAAAUGCUUAGAUAUCACGAAGAACUCCGAUUGCGAAGGCAGUUCACUGGACUGCAACUGACACUGAGGCUCGAAAGUGUGGGUAUCAAACAGGAUUAGAUACCCGGGUAGUC
rnacentral:rRNA from 1 species